rnacentral:rRNA from 1 species
CACUGAGAGAUUAUAACUCUUAGCAAUGCCUGCCCAGUGCGAUUAACUUCGUAAACGGCCGCCCUAGCGUGAGGGUGCUAAGGUAGCGAAAUUCCUUGCCUUUUAAUUGUAGGCCUGCAUGAAUGGCUCGACGAGGGUUUAACUGUCUCUAGUCUUAGAUUUUAAAUUGGAUUAAAGGUGAAGAUACCUUUAUAAAAAAGUCAGACAAGAAGACCCCGUGCAACUUUUAAAAUCAGCUUAUUAAGAAAUCUUAGAUUUUUAGGUGGGGCGCCUAUUAAGUAAGUGUAACCUUUUUAACUACAAAAAACUCUCAGGUAUAGACCCGGUAAUUACCGAUCAUAGGAGAAGUUACGCCGGGGAUAACAGGCUAAUUCACUAGUAGAGAACGUAUUGGCUAGUGAGAUUGGCACCUCGAUGUUGAAUCAGGGAUGAUACCUUUAAGGCGUAGAAGCUUUAAAAGUAGGUCUGUUCGACCUUUAAUACCCU